CUGCUCGCUUCGGCAGCACAUAUACUAAAAUUGGAACGAUACAGAGAAGACUAGCGCGGCCCCUGCGCAAAGAAUGACACGCAAAUUGGUGAAGCGUUCCAUAUUAAA
rnacentral:snRNA from 1 species